rnacentral:tRNA from 4 species
UAGAAUUUGGUGUAAUGGUAGCACGAAGGUUUUUGAGACCUUAGGUAUAGGUUCGAUGCCUGAAGUUCUAG